AUCGUACGAGGUCGAAUUUGACCGCAUCAGUGCAUUCUGCUAUUCCUUUGUGCGGAGUAAGAACCAUAACUACAAUUUGUGGCCGCAGUAAUUAGUGUAUCUGUGCUGACUGCAAAUUGCAAUAAAAGUGAAUACUCAAAUGAGAAACAACGAGGCUUGUUGGUGAGCUACAUCCCGCAUACUACUUUGAAUGACAGCGUAGAUAUGAGGUAAUGUGUACCUUCCUUAUCAAUGGACCAUAUGACAGCGGGAACAUUUCAACUGCGAAAUUACUAGUGAAAAGUGUGCGGACUAUCUGUAGCAGAAUGUGAUUAUGGCUCAGUAAAUUUCACUGAUUUGUGAAGAGUAGAGUGUGGCAGGUCGGCCUGUCUUAUGUAUAUGUGCUCGAAGAACCUCUAGAGUGUGAUUGUGUACCCGUACGCACGAACAACGAAAGCACCGAGAACGCGUAGUGAUCACGGAAUCGUCUUUAGCUGGCAGCUACAAUCGAACCAACAUGAUUGGAAUAAAAUAUCUGAAUGAGGCCCAUUUGAAGGGUUUCGAAAAGUAUAAGUACAACUGUGUUGAUACUAGCGUACUCAGCGUUUAUGUGAUGCAUCCUUUCUGGAAUUGGCUGGUGCAAUAUUUUCCCCGGUGGAUAGCUCCCAAUGUGCUUACUUUCAGCGGAUUCCUGCUGACAGUUGUAAACUUUUUCCUAAUAGCAUAUUACGAUUACGGAUUCACGGCAGCAUCAAAGAGUCCUAACCCCAUACCCGAUUGGGUGUGGAUAAUAGCAGCUAUUAAUUUGUUCGUAGCAUACACGUUAGAUGGGAUUGAUGGGAAACAAGCGCGGCGAACGGGAACCAGUGGCCCUCUGGGUGAGUUGUUUGAUCACGGGCUUGAUUCGUACUCAACACUGCUUAUACCUGCGUACAUGUUUAGUUUAUUUGGUAUGAAUGAUCUGCCUCCAAUUAGGAUGCAUUUCGUGAUGCUGAACGCAUACCUAAACUUCCAUCUAUCUCACGUAGAAAAAUACAUAACAGGUGUAAUGUUCCUGCCCUGGGGAUAUGACUUCGUUAUGACGGGGGUCUCCCUCACGCUAGCUGCUACCGGCAUAUUGGGACCAGGAAUCUGGCAACAGACUAUCUUCGGGGUGAAACCUUGUCUGAUUUUCGAAAUAACAUUGUACGUUUCAGGAAUGGUGACAAGUCAUCCAAUCAUCGCGUACAACAUAUACAAGUCCUAUCGUGAUAAAACAGGAAAAAUGCGCCCAUUCUCGGAGGCAUUUCGGCCAAUGGUACCUCUACUGUCCCUAUUCAUUAUAACCUCAAUUUGGGCUUUGUUUUCUCGUAACAGUAUUGUGAGCAUAGAACCUCGAAUUUUCAUCAUUCUCAGUGGAACAAUAUUCUCAAAUAUCAACUGUCGACUUAUCGUCGCCCAAAUGAGUGACACACGAGCCGAUGUGUGGAAUACAUUUUUCAACCUGUUGGCAGCUGGGACGAUUGUUUGUGUGUUUCCGUAUCCACUGUUGGGUCUCCCGGAACUGUGGGUAGAAUAUGAGCGUAGUAUAUUACAAGCAUUAACCUUUGUAGUGACGAUCGCUCAUCUACAUUACGGCCAAGGCGUUGUUCGAGAAAUGUGUAACCACUUCCGGAUCAAAUGCUUCAAAAUCUCAGCGUACGGCAAAUCACCAAUACUAUUAGACUACUAAACUCAAACUAUGCAACAACAUAAACAUAGGUUGUGAACAUGUAUAUGUUUGUAUCAGCGUAAUGCAUGCGAGGGCGAGCCAUUAUUGACACGGGAAGAGUUCAUCAUGCAUCCAGCCGUAUUGUGAGUGCAGAUAAAGGAAGCUUCCCCCGCUUUGAAUGGUCAUAACAGCGAUGGAAUGAUGGAGAUUGAUCUGAGCCGGCCGGCAGAAGUGUAGAGAAACACGUUGAGAUUACUUAAAUAUGUAAAUAAAACUAGAACAAAUAUAAGCUCUUCAA